UACGUAGGGUGCAGGCGUUAAUCGGAAUUACUGGGCGUAAAGCGUGCGCAGGCGGUUUCUUAAGUCAGAUGUGAAAGCCCCGGGCUUAACUGGGGAGGGUCACUCGAUACUGAUCGACUCGAAGGCAGGAGAGGGAAGUGGAAUUUCCGGUGUAGUGGUGAAAUGCGUAGAUAUCUGGAGGAACACCGGUGGCGAAGGCGGCGUUCUGGACUGUUUCUGACACUGUAAAACGAAAGCCAGGGGAGCAAACGGG
rnacentral:rRNA from 1 species